AGGAGCUUUCUGAACUUGGAGAAGGUUGGUAAACAGGAGGUUGACAGCCAAAUGUUGGUGCCCCCCCACAUCGAGGGAAUGGGGACUGUGUUGCAUGGAUGUGUUCCAGUUGGAGGAGAGCUUUGCUCUGCGGAGAUGCUCUUGGGUCAGGUGAAGACAGCAGGAUUCUUGCAAACCAGAUGGAGAGAGAAGAAAUCACACAAUUUAAAAGAAAGAGGCAGCAAGGAUUCUCCUUCUUGCAACAACUCUUCAGCCGCAGGAGUUUCUGAGCCCGUCCCAAGAAAGGAUUCCUGAUGGGACAUUUCCUGUUCACACUGCUGUCUUUCUCAUGAGAAUCCACUCUCAGACCCCAUGCCUCCUCGUGGACUCUGACAGAUGGUGGCAUCCAACUGGACCCUGACUGAGCAGAGUAAGGAGGAGUCAGGGACAUGAGACAAUACUGGUGCUGCUGGAGUGUGAGCCAUAAUCCACAGCCAACACUAGUGUUAUAAGAACCGCAACAAGAAUAAAAAAUACCUCUGUGAUUGCUUGUGGCCACUCCAAAUGAAAACAAUGCAACAGAUCUCAAGAAUGCAAAGUUGCUUCAAGAGAUUUAUUCCAAUUUGCUUAAUGCAUGAUGAAUUAUACCUAUGGGGCCCUGUUCCUGUGAAAAGAUUUCCCAGGAAGUGUUAAGCAUAUCUGAUGCUUAUCAAGAAUGCCUAGGAAUAAUCAAAUAUAUUUGAUACUCUGUAUA